CGCGCCGCGAGUAUUUCUAGUCCAAAUGAACCCCGGAACCCUUCUUGCUCAGCCCGCCACCGUGCAGAACAGAGCAGACCGCUGAGGAAAGUCGUCCAAGCUCGCUUAGAGGAAAGUCGUCCAAGCCGAGCUCGUCAAGCCGACGUCGGAGGAUUCAAAAAAAAAAAGGGAGAAAGGAAGUCGAUCAUGAUCAAGAUCGUACAAGAACUUCAAGUUGAAACUUCACCUUCCGAAUUGGAGCAAGGCAAGCACCGUAGCAUCUAUGCCUACUAAUUUUAAUUAACUUAUAUUAUUAUUUGUGUACUGCAUCUAAGUGCUUAAGUCUAGGAGUUGCUUGAAACCCAUUUGAUGCAUGAUCAACUUCCUUGUUUUAAGGACAUCUUUGCCACCUUCUCAACUAGAUAGAUCAAACCAAGGUGUCUAAAAGAAACCCACACUAAAAGCAACCAAAGGUCCAAAUAUUACUCGAAGGUUCACUUGAUGAAACAAGACAUUGGUUGGUGACAAGUAUGGUGGUCGUUGAGUACAGAGCAGAAGAGGAGUUCUGACUCUGUCCUCACUUCUAAAGAAAGAAUAAGGAACUAUGGUAUGUUUAACCUUGAUCAGACGUUGAACAAGCUGGUCAUAUGCUGACAUAUGGAAUCAGUAAACCCGAUAGCUUGGUUGACCUAAAUACUUGAACCAAGUUGUACCCCACUCGAUGUGGAUAUAGGUGGCGGGGGCGUAGCCUGAAACCCGUGUUGAGAUUAGGCCCGACGGGGGGUUCCAUCACGGGGGUGCGAACCCGGGUGUUGGUAAUCUUGGUUCAGGGUUUAGUAUCCUCCGCGUGAAAGGUUGCCAUGGGCAGUUUACCGGAAGCUGUGCGUGACGUGUGCCCAGUUAUCUUCUGCAGGAUGCAAAUCGAUUCGAAUCGCCGCAAUUCUCGGAUAUGAAUGCCGUUUGAUCUCGCUUAAACAUCGUAACUAAAUAUGAUGCAACCAGUAUAAAAGUUGUUGCUUGUGAACCUAGAGUUAUCAUGAUGACUAUAAAUUAGGGUUAUUCUCAAGUCUAGUAUCAGUACAUGAGUCUCAGUUUAGGAAGUUACUGUUUUGAGUCCAAAUUUUUGAACCAAAAUACUAGUCCACUCUAAAUAGCCUUGCAUUCUCCUUGAUCCUUUACUUUUAUUUUCAGUUAGUCGGGUCAGUCUUGCUGAGUACCUUUUUGUACUCAGUGUUUGUGCUUAUAUGUUUUUAGCAGCACUGUUGGAGGAGCCGCAGGAGCGAAGCACCAAGACUCAAAGAUGAUUCUGCUCUGGGUGACUGUCCUGAUCAACUGUGAUUCUGCGACGAUAUAUUGGAGCGAAGGAAAACAUAUAAACAGGUUGCAGCAACUGGGGAGAAAAGUCGUGCGAUGAUUGAGGAUGCAAGUGGAAUAGUGGAUCUCCAUGACAAGCGUCUCAACUUCUCGUCAGUGCUGACUUUUCUAGAGAUACGAUGAAUUGAUGAUGAUAAAAAUGUAAUCGAUCUCUGAUCUUCAACUGAAAUCAUAUAAUUUGUUACAACAUAUUGCCUCAUUGGGGUGACAAGAGGCAUUAGCUCCA